rnacentral:rRNA from 1 species
UGGGGAAUAUUGCACAAUGGGCGCAAGCCUGAUGCAGCCAUGCCGCGUGUAUGAAGAAGGCCUUCGGGUUGUAAAGUACUUUCAGCGGGGAUGAAGGGAGUAAAGUUAAUACCUUUGCUCAUUGACGUUACCCGCAGAAGAAGCACCGGCUAACUCCGUGCCAGCAGCCGCGGUAAUACGGAGGGUGCAAGCGUUAAUCGGAAUUACUGGGCGUAAAGCGCACGCAGGCGGUUUGUUAAGUCAGAUGUGAAAUCCCCGGGCUCAACCUGGGAACUGCAUCUGAUACUGGCAAGCUUGAGUCUCGUAGAGGGGGGUAGAAUUCCAGGUGUAGCGAUGAAAUGCGUAGAGAUCUGGAGGAAUACCGGUGGCGAAGGCGGCCCCCUGGACGAAGACUGACGCUCAGGUGCGAAAGCGUGGGGAGCAAACAGG